rnacentral:tRNA from 1 species
GGUCCCAUCGUCUAGCCCGGCCUAGGACGUCGCCCUCUCAAGGCGAAAACGCGGGUUCGAAUCCCGCUGGGACCA